AGGUUCUAGAGAUUUUCUAUACC
rnacentral:siRNA from 1 species